GGCAGAUCUUCGACAACCUCCUGGACUGGCAGGAGCAGUACAUUCACGAGAACUACAGCCGGGCCCUGGAAGGGCAGGGACUUGUGGAGCAGCCGUGUCCAGACGUGUAUUGGUUCCCGCUGCUGUCAGACCAGAUGUGUGACGAGCUGGUGGAGGAAAUGGAGCAUUAUGGCCAGUGGUCAGGAGGCGGGCAUGAGGACUCCAGGCUGGCCAGAGGCUAUGAGA